rnacentral:rRNA from 1 species
UACAGAGAGUGCAAGCGUUAAUCGGAAUUACUGGGCGUAAAGCGCACGUAGGUGGAUGCUUAAGUCGGAUGUGAAAUCCCCGAGCUUAACUUGGGAAUUGCAUUCGAUACUGGGCGUCUAGAAUAUGGUAGAGGGAAGUGGAAUUUCUGGUGUAGCGGUGAAAUGCGUAGAUAUCAGAAGGAACAUCAGUGGCGAAAGCGGCUUCCUGGACCAAUAUUGACACUUAGGUGCGAAAGCGUGGGGAGCAAACAGG